GGUUCCAUGGAAUAAUGGUUAGUACGUUGGACUUUGAAUCCAAUGAUCCGAGUUCAAAUCUCGGUGGAACCU